UACAGGUAGACGAGUAGAAUAUACUCAGGCGCUUGAGAGAACUCUCACUCAGGAACUAGGCAAUCUAACUCCGUAACUUCGGGAGAAGGAGUGCCCACAUUAGAUGGCGGGGUUCGCCCCCAAAGUUGAAGUGGGUCGCAGAGAAAUGGCCCAGGCGACUGUUUACUAAAAACACAGGACUCUGCUAAGUCGAAAACGACGUAUAGGGUCUGACGCCUGCCCGGUGCCGGAAGGUUAAAGGGAGGUGUUAUUCCGCCUUGUGCGGGAGAAGCUCCGAACUGAAGCCCCGGUAAACGGCGGCCGUAACAAUAACGGUCCUAAGGUAGCGAAAUUCCUUGUCGGGUAAGUUCCGACCUGCACGAAUGGCGUAACGAUCUGGGCGCUGUCUUGGUGAGAGGCUCAGUGAAACUGAAAUACCGGUGAAGAUGCCGGUUACCCGCAGCUAGACAGAAAGACCCCGUGCACCUUUACUACACCUUGGCAAUGGAUUUUGGUGCGUUAUGUGCAGCAUAGGUGGGAGGCUUUGAACUGUGGGCGUCAGCCUGCAGGGAGCCAACAGUGAGAUACCACCCUUAACGUUCUGACAUUCUAACCUAGGGUCGUCAUCCGGCCCAGGGACAUUGCCAGGCAGGUAGUUUGACUGGGGCGGUCGCCUCCCAAAUUGUAACGGAGGCGUUCUAAGGUGUGCUCAGGCUGUUUGGAAAUCAGCCGUAGAGUGUAAAGGCACAAGCACGCUUGACUGCGAGACAGACAAGUCAAGCAGGUGGGAAACCAGGACUUAGUGAUCCGGUGGUUCCGCGUGGAAGGGCCAUCGCUCAACGGAUAAAAGGUACGCCGGGGAUAACAGGCUGAUCUUGCCCAAGAGUCCACAUCGACGGCAAGGUUUGGCACCUCGAUGUCGGCUCGUCGCAUCCUGGGGCUGGAGAAGGUCCCAAGGGUUGGGCUGUUCGCCCAUUAAAGCGGCACGUGAGCUGGGUUUAGAACGUCGCGAGACAGUUCGGUCCUUAUCUGCUGUGGGCGUAGGAAAUUUGAGGGGAGCUGUCCUUAGUACGAAAGGACCGGGAUGGACGAACCUCUAGUGUACCAGUUGUCCCGCCAGGGGCAUGGCUGGGUAGCUAGGUUCGGAUGGGAUAAACGCUGAAGGCAUCUAAGUGUGAAGCCCACCCCAAGACAAGAUUUCCCUGCCGUAAGGCACUAAGGGCCCCUGAUAGACCAUCAGGUUGAUAGGCUGGGAGUGGAAGCGUGGCAACACGUGGAGCUUACCAGUACUAAUCGGUCCGUGUGGCUUGACCAU
rnacentral:rRNA from 1 species